rnacentral:rRNA from 1 species
GACGAACGCUGGCGGCGUGCCUAAUACAUGCAAGUAGAACGCACAGUUUAUACCGUAGCUUGCUACACCAUAAACUGUGAGUUGCGAACGGGUGAGUAACGCGUAGGUAACCUGCCUGGUAGCGGGGGAUAACUAUUGGAAACGAUAGCUAAUACCGCAUAAUAUUAAUUAUUGCAUGAUAAUUGAUUGAAAGAUGCAAUUGCAUCACUACCAGAUGGACCUGCGUUGUAUUAGCUAGUAGGUGAGGUAACGGCUCACCUAGGCGACGAUACAUAGCCGACCUGGGGGGGUGAUCGGCCACCCUGGGAAUGGGAAACGGCCCAGACUCCUACGGGAGGGAGCAGGAGGGAAUCUUCGGCAAUGGACGGAAGUCUGACCGAGCAACGCCGCGUGAGUGAAGAAGGUUUUCGGAUCGUAAAGCUCUGUUGUAAGAGAAGAACGGGUGUGAGAGUGGAAAGUUCACACUGUGACGGUAUCUUACCAGAAAGGGACGGCUAACUACGUG